rnacentral:rRNA from 1 species
UGGUCCUGGAUGAGUGGCGAACGGGUGAGUAACACGUGAGUAACCUGCCCCCUUCUUCUGGAUAACCGCAUGAAAGUGUGGCUAAUACGGGAUAUUCUGGGUCUGUCGCAUGGUGGGCCUGGGAAAGGUUUUUUCCGGUGGGGGAUGGGCUCGCGGCCUAUCAGCUAGUUGGUGGGGUGAUGGCCUACCAAGGCGGUGACGGGUAGCCGGCCUGAGAGGGUGGACGGUCACACUGGGACUGAGACACGGCCCAGACUCCUACGGGAGGCAGCAGUGGGGAAUAUUGCACAAUGGGGCGCAAAGCCCUGAUGCAGCGACCGCCGCGUGAGGGGAUGGGA